UACGGGGGGAGCAAGCGUUGUUCGGAUUUACUGGGCGUAAAGGGCGCGUAGGCGGUCGUGACAAGUCACUUGUGAAAUCUCCGGGCUUAACUCGGAACGGUCAAGUGAUACUGUCGUGCUAGAGUGCGGAAGGGGCAACUGGAAUCUUGGUGUAGCGGUGAAAUGCGUAGAUAUCAAGAGGAACACCUGCGGCGAAGGCGGGUUGCUGGGCCGACACUGACGCUGAGGCGCGGAAAGCCAGGGGAGCGAACGGG
rnacentral:rRNA from 1 species